rnacentral:rRNA from 1 species
GAUCAUGGCUCAGGAUGAACGCUGGCGGCGUGCUUAACACAUGCAAGUUGUGCGGUGAUCUCAAGAAGUUUCGGACGGAAAGGGAGAGCAGCAGCGGACGGGUGAGUAAAGCACAAGGACUUGUCCCGAAGAGGGGGACAACUGUGGGAAACCACAGCUAAUACCCCAUAAGCCGAGAGGUGAAAGCAGUAAUGCGCUUUAGGAGAGACUUGUGUCCUAUCAGGUAGUUGGUGAGGUAACGGCUCACCAAGCCGAAGACGGGUAGCCGGACUGAGAGGUUGUACGGCCACAUUGGAACUGAGAGACGGUCCAGACUCCUACGGGAGGCAGCAGUGGGGAAUAUUGGGCAAUGGGGGCAACCCUGACCCAGCGACGCCGCGUGAGGGAAGACAGCCUUCGGGUUGUAAACCUCUGUUGCAGGGGAAGAAGAAAGUGACGGUACCCUGCGAGGAAGCUCCGGCAAACUACGUGCCAGCCGCCGC